rnacentral:snRNA from 1 species
GUGACCUCCCGGGAAGUCCU